rnacentral:misc_RNA from 1 species
GCCAUUUGAAGGCAUGUCAAAUCUACAGGCAGCAUAUGCAGCAGCUUUUAAGGUGAGCAAUGUUGUUUUCACCAUAUAUUGAAGUUGAAAAUCUUUCAUGAGAGUUUAUUAUGCUCAUGGGAAAUUAAUGACAAACCAUAAUUAUGUCCAGUCAGUGGUAGUGCCCUUGUAAUAUUACAUGAGAAAUCAUCUGUUAGAAGGGCUGAGGAUUGAUAUUUCAAAUUUAUGAUCAUGCAUCAUGAAAUAAGGAUACUCUUCAACCACAAGCUUACCAAGUUCUAUUGAAUAUUGAUAUCCUUCAGAAGUGGAAUGGAUUAAUUAGUUAGCAAAUGCAGUAGAAUGUAGGGGUUGCUGGAGACUGGUCAGAUAGGAAAUUGUGGUGGAGCGUGGAGGUGUUUAUACUUUUUCUGGAAUUGUAGUGAUUGGGGAAGUCACACUGUGGGGAACUUUCAAAAAAGAGGUCAGGCAUGUUGGACACCACCUUGACAAAACGGCUCAAGCCAUUAGUUAGUGGGUCAUCC